rnacentral:rRNA from 1 species
UCCCGUAACGAGCGCAACCCUUGUCCUUAGUUACCAGCACGUUAUGGUGGCACUCUAGGAGACUGCCGGUGACAACCGAGGAAGUGGGGAUGACGUCAAGUCAUCAUGGCCCUUACGGCCUGGGCUACACACGUGCUACAAUGGUCGGUACAAAGGGUUGCCAAGCCGCGAGGUGGAGCUAAUCCCAUAAAACCGAUCGUAGUCCGGAUCGCAGUCUGCAACUCGACUGCGUGAAGUCGGAAUCGCUAGUAAUCGUGAAUCAGAAUGUCACGGUGAAUACGUUCCCGGGCCUU